rnacentral:rRNA from 1 species
GACGAACGCUGGCGGCGUGCUUAACACAUGCAAGUCGAACGGAAAGGCCCCUUUGGGGGUACUCGAGUGGCGAACGGGUGAGUAACACGUGAGUAACCUGCCCUUGACUUCGGGAUAACUUCAGGAAACUGGGGCUAAUACCGGAUAGGAAUCCUUGCUGCAUGGUGGGGGUUGGAAAGCUUCGGCGGUUUUGGAUGGACUCGCGGCUUAUCAGCUUGUUGGUGGGGUAGUGGCUUACCAAGGCUUUGACGGGUAGCCGGCCUGAGAGGGCGACCGGCCAAAUUGGGACUGAGAUACGGCCCAGACUCCUACGGGAGACAGGAGGGGGGAAUAUUGCAAAAGGGGCGGAAGCCUGAUGCAGCAACGCCGCGGGGGGGAUGACGGCCUUCGGGUUGUAAACCGCUUUCAGCAGGGGCGAAGCUUUUGUGACGGUACCUGCAAAAGAAGCACCGGCUAACUACGU